AUUGAACGCUGGCGGCAUGCCUUACACAUGCAAAUCGAACGGUAACGGGCCUUCGGGUGCCGACGAGUGGCGAACGGGUGCGUAAUACAUCGGAACGUGCCCGAUCGUGGGGGAUAACGAGGCGAAAGCUUUGCUAAUACCGCAUACGAUCUACGGAUGAAAGCAGGGGACCGCAAGGCCUUGCGCGGACGGAGCGGCCGAUGGCAGAUUAGGUAGUUGGUGGGAUAAAAGCUUACCAAGCCGACGAUCUGUAGCUGGUCUGAGAGGAUGAUCAGCCACACUGGGACUGAGACACGGCCCAGACUCCUACGGGAGGCAGCAGUGGGGAAUUUUGGACAAUGGGCGCAAGCCUGAUCCAGCCAUGCCGCGUGAAGGAUGAAGGCCUUCGGGUUGUAAACUGAUUUUGUACGGAACGAAAAGCCUUCUUUUAAUACAGGAGGGUCAUGACGGUACCGUAAGAAUAAGCACCGGCUAACUACGUG
rnacentral:rRNA from 1 species